AGUCGAGCGAACGGACGAGAAGCUUGCUUCUCUGAUGUUAGCGGCGGACGGGUGAGUAACACGUGGAUAACCUACCUAUAAGACUGGGAUAACUUCGGGAAACCGGAGCUAAUACCGGAUAAUAUUUUGAACCGCAUGGUUCAAAAGUGAAAGACGGUCUUGCUGUCGCUUAUAGAUGGAUCCGCGCCGCAUUAGCUAGUUGGUAAGGUAACGGCUUACCAAGGCAACGAUGCAUAGCCGACCUGAGAGGGUGAUCGGCCACACUGGAACUGAGACACGGUCCAGACUCCUACGGGAGGCAGCAGUAGGGAAUCUUCCGCAAUGGGCGAAAGCCUGACGGAGCAACGCCGCGUGAGUGAUGAAGGUCUUCGGAUCGUAAAACUCUGUUAUUAGGGAAGAACAUAUGUGUAAGUAACUGUGCACAUCUUGACGGUACCUAACCAGAAAGCCACGGCUAACUACGUGCCAGCAGCCGCGGUAAUACGUAGGUGGCAAGCGUUAUCCGGAAUUAUUGGGCGUAAAGCGCGCGUAGGCGGUUUUUUAAGUCUGAUGUGAAAGCCCACGGCUCAACCGUGGAGGGUCAUUGGAAACUGGAAAACUUGAGUGCAGAAGAGGAAAGUGGAAUUCCAUGUGUAGCGGUGAAAUGCGCAGAGAUAUGGAGGAACACCAGUGGCGAAGGCGACUUUCUGGUCUGUAACUGACGCUGAUGUGCGAAAGCGUGGGGAUC
rnacentral:rRNA from 1 species